UACAGAGGUGGCAAGCGUUGUUCGGAAUUACUGGGCGUAAAGGGCGCGUAGGCGGUCCCGUCAGUCCCUUGUGAAAUCCCCCGGCUCAACUGGGGAACUGCAAGGGAUACAGCGGGGCUUGAGUUCGGGAGAGGGAAGCGGAAUUCCGGGUGUAGCGGUGAAAUGCGUAGAUAUCAGGAGGAACACCGGUGGCGAAGGCGGGUCUCUGGGCCGAUAUUGACGCUGAGGAGCGAAAGCGUGGGGAGCGAACAGG
rnacentral:rRNA from 1 species